GCAAUAUUGACCUGUUGUUUUAAGCUCAAGCUCCAUUUGGAUCGCGAACGAUGACUGGUCUUACAACCAACAACCUCAGAUGGCCUGGUCAUUCUUCUAAAUGAAUGUGCACACAUUCUUGCUCAAAAAGAACUCUGAUAAGACCAAAAUUAAUCUGAACUAGAAAUCGUACUUUGUCCUGCCACUUCUUAAGAUUAAGCAUAACAUGUCGG
rnacentral:misc_RNA from 1 species